CUCGGAGAGGGGGGUCCUUCAGCCCGGAUUGCGAGAAGGCACAGGCCAGGCCGAGGGACCCCACAGGUGCACG
rfam:Myotis lucifugus cont2.10266, whole genome shotgun sequence.